rnacentral:rRNA from 1 species
GACGAACGCUGGCGGCGUGCCUAAUACAUGCAAGUAGAACGCUGAAGGAGGAGCUUGCUCUUCUGGAUGAGUUGCGAACGGGUGAGUAACGCGUAGGUAACCUGCCUGGUAGCGGGGGAUAACUAUUGGAAACGAUAGCUAAUACCGCAUAACAGUAGAUGUUGCAUGACAUUUACUUAAAAGGUGCAAUUGCAUCACUACCAGAUGGACCUGCGUUGUAUUAGCUAGUUGGUGGGGUAACGGCUCACCAAGGCGACGAUACAUAGCCGACCUGAGAGGGUGGUCGGCCACACUGGGACGGAGACACGCCCCAGACGCCUACAGGAGGCAGCAGUAGGGAAUCUUCGGCAAUGGACGGAAGUCUGACCAAGCAACGCCGCGUGAGGGAAGAAGGUUUUCGGGUCGUAAAGCUCUGUUGUAAGAGAAGAACGAGUGUGAGAGUGUAAAGUUCACACUGUGACGGUAACUUACCAGAAAGGGACGGCUAACUACGUG